GUAGGGAAUAUUGGGCAAUGGUCGGAAGACUGACCCAGCCAUGCCGCGUGCAGGAAGACGGCCCUCUGGGUUGUAAACUGCUUUUAUCUGGGAAGAAAAAGGCCAUGCGUGGCAAAUUGCCGGUACCAGAUGAAUAAGCACCGGCUAACUCCGUGCCAGCAGCCGCGGUAAUACGGAGGGUGCGAGCGUUGUCCGGAUUUAUUGGGUUUAAAGGGUGCGUAGGCGGCUAAUUAAGUCAGCGGUGAAAGACUUCGGCUUAACCGGAGCAGUGCCGUUGAUACUGGUUGGCUUGAGUGUCGGAGGGGUACAUGGAAUUGAUGGUGUAGCGGUGAAAUGCAUAGAUACCAUCAGGAACACCGAUAGCGAAGGCAUUGUACUGGCCGACAACUGACGCUGAUGCACGAAAGUGUGGGGAUCGAACAGGAUUAGAAACCCGUGUAGUCC
rnacentral:rRNA from 1 species